GCCCUCUGGGUCUCAGUUGGCAGAGCACAAGACUCUUAAUCUCAGGGUCGUGGCUUCAACCUCUACAUUAGGCA